GUAAAAGCAGGGAAGGUUGACGCUAUCUAAAGUGGGUUCUCCCUUUCCGGUGCAGAGUCUUUCAAAUAUCCACUGACAGGGCGUUGAUACAUAGAAGAACUUGCCUCAGGUCAAACGUUCCUGCACUAGCUGUGAGCGCUCACUUCAAUGGAAAGCUCUGUGGUCCCUGCCAGCCCCUCUGCUCCACAGAUGUCUCAGGACACAGCCCCACCCUUGCCAGGGCACAGAAGUGGGAUUUACAAAGGAUCAACACACCAGACUUGUUACCAAACUUAGGAAGGAUGUCAACAAAAGAUAUCUUCUUGGUGAAAGUUAGUAGCUACUCAAUAAGACAGCACCGCUGAGGAACAUGGGAAAUCUGAAGUCCAGAAUCUGCUUGUCCCAUCAGGUUUUAAUAGCCACCAGUGUUUCUCAGCACUCCCCUUCCUCGGAACGACAACAUCAGAGUGCUGGCACAGAUUUCUUAAAAUUGUACUGGCAAAAGAUAAACAAAGCUCAAGAUAUAGACAUAUAUUUUAUACAGAAGAAAAGGCAGGACACACGGAAUGCAAGUCCUCUGGCUCACAGUUGCAAGCUGACUAGUUACCCAAAAUGAGCUCACUGCAAAAAUCACUGUUCACUCCUUAGGCACCACUCGCCAACUGGGUAUAACAGACACUGGCCGGCUCCUGAACUCUCCUCCAAUUAAGCUGCACAACCUGUUAACGCUCUGCCAAUGGACGCUAUUUACUUAGGAUCUGCAUAACUUGCCAACUGUUCACUCUGUGGAAUUCCCAGCAACGAGAAAGGAACAAUUGGGGGAAAUUUUUGUUAGCAUCCUUUCUUUAAAGUUUCCAUAGCAGAAGGGCAUGCAUCACCGUGGAGCAGAUGCGCUGAGACCAAAUGCUCUCUUCCUCAUGAUUACAGUUGGUUCUACCUGUGGAUAGGCAAGCUAAUUCCACUGCAAAUGUGCAAGAGAGGGUAGUACUAACGUACAAUGUGUGGUCCUGGAGGCUUUGUUCCCACAUAAUAGGGUGCUUCAUUUCACAAGAACUGGCACAUACAGAACACUGAAGCAAGCAGCCCUGUGUGUUGGGAUCAGGAUCUGCCUGUACUGCUUACAGAAUGCCCUGGUUCACAGUGAUGUUGACAGAAAUAGUGCGGCAUUUCUUAUUCAGCGUUGGAAAGUAAUGAUUCUUUCUCCUCAAUGUGCUCAGUGACUCUGCACCCUAUUGUUUUCUGCCAUUUGAAAACGCCCGAGGAUGUCAUUAUAACUGCAUGUAUCAAUAUUAAACCUUUGCAAACAGUUGACUAAAUGAGCUGUUAUUAUCUUUGUUUCUGAAAAUAGUGUACCUUUUUACUUCAUUUAUCAGUAACUAGGUGUAGUCAAUUGCACUCUGGUAUUGAUCCCAAUAUCU